ensembl:lncRNA
UAUUUCUCUUUCCCAGAGCUGUACAAGAUUCUAAAGUCACAGGAGACUUGGGGUGGGAGAAAACAGGAAGACUGAAUUGCUACCAACUUACCAAGGCAAAGAACAAUAAAAGAAAGCAAACAAGAGUAAGAGGGGCUCCAAAGAAACGGUCAUCCUUCAAUAAAGACACCUCAAAACAUUCCCGGGGUUUCUGUGCUACCCAUCAGGAUGUGGAAAAGCCUCAGAAACUGAAAAAGAUCCAAAAGCCUAUUCUUUCAAGAAGAGAGGAAAGGAAAUCGAUACCUAUUCUGCCUCUACAAAUUCAAAACAGAGGGUCCUCCAAAACAGAAGAAUUUCUUUGUCUUCUUGUUGAAACUCAGCCCUGUUCUGCAGAGGAAGAGACAAGAGCCAGAUAUGAUAGAUCGUCAGUGGUACAGACCUUAUCCUGGAAGUAUGCAAAUGGAAAGACCUCCAGAAAUGCUCCACUUAAGGAAAUACAAGUGAGGCUGAAACACCUUCAGAAGAAAAAAGGCACUAAAUGUAAUCAGCUUAAAUUCUUUCGGUACUUUUAAAUUCAUUAGUAUUUCCAGGUAGUGCUACAAGUAAUGCUGAAGGGCUCUUGGAGAACAGAGGAUCUUGGGUAAAGCAAGUAUUUGCUAUAAUUUGAUUCUGAUGAGAACAAAAUAGAUGGAAUUGUCUAGAAUAUAUUUAUAGCAAAAAGACUUUAUUAAUCACAGCUUUUUGACCUGAUCAUCCUGGCAUACAGGUAUGCAGCUUGUCUCUACAUCCUCUUCUUUAACUGAUGACAACAUGAGAACAAAUUAAUUUGAAUAUGAAAAUGUUACUUAAUUAAGAAAACUCCUGUUAUUUUCCUAUUGCAGGAAGCAAACUUCAUCUAACAAGUAUGAGACUUUCACGUAUGUAGAAUUUUAACAUAUUAAAGAACUUUACUUGAAUAUUUAUGCUCCAUUUUAGACAUGAAACUUGCAUAAUAGCAUAUAAAGACAGCCAUAUUUCAAUAAAAAUAUUAAUUUUUAAAAAUAUCUUUUAAUCUCUGCAACUAUUCUUCAUGAACAGCUGAUGCCAUCAAUAUGCAAUUUAUUCUGAGUAUACUAAAUAUAAAACCAAAGUUUUUUGUUUAAUCUUUUGAAAAAAGACUAUGAUGAUUUGCCUUUCCCCAAAAUUUCAGACCUAUCAACCUCUCUGGCAAAAUCAAUGAAAUGAACACAGUUAAAAAAUCGAUUUCUAUUGAUCCAUCUACAUCUUUUUUCAAAGCAAAAAUAUUCCAAUCAUGGAAUGAUCUAAUAAGAAACAGAAAGAAACACGUUAAUAAUUAAAAUUAGUCUUGUGAGUCAAACCAAUACAAACAGUCUUAUCAACCAGCAAUACGUAAAUAAGAAUAACCAAAGGAGUGUGCCAGUUUAAGUUAUGGUUUUGGACUUUCAUGUUAAUGCUCUGUUCAGGAAAAUGAGCAAUUUAACUCAGUACUCAGAGCUCCAUCCUCCAGUCUUUUGCACAACACUGAAAUUCAUACAAACCCAAGAUUCAGAUUACAAAGAGGCAGAUUUCUUCUCUGCUGUCAACAGUUAUAUAUUUGUGUUGGUUGGCUUGACUCCUUGAUCUCAGGGAAAUCGUCCCGAAGACUACAGGCAGAUCACAACCGAAGAAGAAGAAGAGCAAAGAAUAUUUAAGCAGCAGAAUUGCUCAGUGUGAGCAUGUGGGUGUUUGCCUGCAAUACCGAGAUUCUGAUGUUUUCUUUUCAAGUUCCUUUCUAGCCUGAACAGGUUAGAUUUAAAAACAGGCCUUAAAGCAGCAUGGUAUUUCAACUGAACAGAUUAUUCUAAUCAUUAAAUAAUUGACCAAAGUUGUUGAAGUUUUAUUUUGGCUUUCACCUGAAAGUAGGCAAAGCAAACCAGAUAAUUUUAUACCAUACUUUUCUUUCUUUUCUUUUCAAUAUAUGUUUCUUGAAAGCAAGAGAAGCAUUGAUUUGAUCCCAAAGCAAUAUUCAACCUGUAUUGUGUCAAGCAGGCACUUCUCCCCUGAUGGAUGGUCUAAUCCAUGUUAGAACAUCUCUGAUGCUGGAAAUUAGAAAGGAAAAUUCUUUGUUCUUUGUGGUUACCAGCAUUUUAGUGCAAAUCCCUUCAGGUAUGUGUAUUAUCCAACAGCAACAUUAUUCCACACAUUCUACCAGAACUCUCCAUGACACACUCCCAGAGUUAAGAGGAGACAAGCUCUGGUAUCAGAAUAUUCACCUGAAAACUGAUUUCUGAAUCCAGUGCAAUUUAUAUAACAUAAACUUCAACUGCAAUGUUUAGGACUUAAAAAGUAAACAGGGGAAAAUACUGUAAGACUUUUGAAAUUAUCCUAGCUCGGUGCAAGGGUCUUUUACUACAGAUUAAAUACUGUUUUUUUCAACAUAUCUGUUCUGAACCCACUGCAUGUCAUUUCCUGUUGGCAAUAAAGGAUUGCUGUGGCACACCAUAUAUUUCAUCCCAUUUUCACCACCACAGAGUUUGCACACGAUGCUCAGAUGCAGAUAACUAUGCCAAGAAGGUGGAAGAGAGUUCUAAGUGUUUACUCUUGGUAAACUUAGUGUCCAGUUAAAUGAAGUGACAUCUUCCAGCUGAAGUGGAAACUCUAGCAAGACCUGUAUCAGCCUAAUGAACAGCAUUACACACCUGCAACAUUUGGGACAAAUGUAAUCAGCAAUAUUUUUCUUCCUUCUUGAGUCAUUUCCAUCAUUAAAAAU